UGCGUUGCAAUGGCGGCGCGAAUCCCUAUAUUUCAGCGUGCCGGAGCAAUCCGGAUAUGGCGAUAAACGGCCAUCGCAAUAAACCUUCGGACCCGGGGGCAGUGCCCGGCGCCUCCACCAGAACCCAUGAACCACGGACGGCGUGGUUUCCGGCGGGGGCGAAACAGGAUCGACGAGGGCGUAAAGGAUGGGCUUUCGCCCGGCAUGGUAUCCACCGUUAUCGGGCCAAACAUAUAGUUGCCAACGACAACUAUGCCGAGGCUCGCCUCGCCGCGUAAUGCGGUGAUGCAACCUCAUCCAAAGCCCUUGCGGUUCGCACCGUAAGGCGGGGUCCGGAGGCGCCUGGCAACAGAAGCCUCCACU
rnacentral:tmRNA from 1 species